rnacentral:lncRNA from 1 species
CGCCACGCCUGUAAUCCCAGCACUGUGGGAGGCUGAGGUGGGCCGAUCAUGAGGUCAGAGUUUGAGACCAGUCUGGCCAACAUGGUGAAAUCCCGUCUCUACUAAAGAUACAAAAAAUUAGCUGGCACGCACCUGUAAUCCCAGCUACUCAGGAGGCUGAGAGUAUAUGGUCAACCACCCAGAUAUUUCUCAACCUGCCUCCCAGUGAGGUGCCAUGUAACUAUAUUCUGGCCAAUGACAUGGCCAUGACACUCAUGGAACACAAACCAUCUAUUUGUCUACCACAAAAUGCACCCAAGUGUCUCAAAGUGCCCUUCUGGUUACAAAAUGAGACACUGCUUCAGGACCUUGGAGAGCGC